UACGAGAGGCCCAAACGUUAUUCGGAAUUACUGGGCUUAAAGAGUCCGUAGGCGGCGCAGAAAGUGGGGUGUGAAAUCCCUCGGCUCAACCGAGGAAUUGCGCUCCAAACUCCUGUGCUUGAGGAAUCUAGAGGUGAGCGGAACUGAUGGUGGAGCGGUGAAAUGCGUUGAUAUCAUCAGGAACACCGGAGGCGAAGGCGGCUCACUGGGGAUUUUCUGACGCUGAGGGACGAAAGCCAGGGGAGCGAACGGG
rnacentral:rRNA from 1 species